GACGAACGCUGGCGGCGUGCCUAAUACAUGCAAGUAGAACGCUGAAGGAGGAGCUUGCUUCUCUGGAUGAGUUGCGAACGGGUGAGUAACGCGUAGGUAACCUGCCUGGUAGCGGGGGAUAACUAUUGGAAACGAUAGCUAAUACCGCAUAAGAGUAGAUGUUGCAUGACAUUUGCUUAAAAGGUGCAAUUGCAUCACUACCAGAUGGACCUGCGUUGUAUUAGCUAGUUGGUGGGGUAACGGCUCACCAAGGCGACGAUACAUAGCCGACCUGAGAGGGUGAUCGGCCACACUGGGACUGAGACACGUCCCAGACUCCUACGGGAGGCAGCAGUAGGGAAUCUUCUGCAAUGGACGGAAGUCUGACCGAGCAACGCCGCGUGAGUGAAGAAGGUUUUCGGAUCGUAAAGCUCUGUUGUAAGAGAAGAACGAGUGUGAGAGUGGAAAGUUCACACUGUGACGGUAUCUUACCAGAAAGGGACGGCUAACUACGUG
rnacentral:rRNA from 1 species